rnacentral:rRNA from 1 species
AGAACGAACGCUGGCGGCAUGCCUAACACAUGCAAGUCGAACGAGACCUUCGGGUCCAGUGGCGCACGGGUGCGUAACGCGUGGGAAUCUGCCCUUAGGUUCGGAAUAACAGUUAGAAAUGACUGCUAAUACCGGAUAAUGUCUUCGGACCAAAGAUUUAUUGCCUAAGGAUGAGCCCGCGUAAGAUUAGCUUGUUGGUGAGGUAAAGGCUCACCAAGGCGACGAUCUUUAGCUGGUCUGAGAGGAUGAUCAGCCACACUGGGACUGAGACACGGCCCAGACUCCUACGGGAGGCAGCAGUGGGGAAUAUUGGACAAUGGGCGAAAGCCUGAUCCAGCAAUGCCGCGUGAGUGAUGAAGGCCUUAGGUUGUAAAGCUCUUUUACCCGGGAUGAUAAUGACAGUACCGGAGAAUAAGCCCGGCUAACUCCGCGCCAGCAGCCGC